GCUGGAGGUUCUGGCUGCAAGGUCAUUCCUAUGGCUGUUGGCAGGGGUCUCAGACCCACACCAUGUGGGCCUCACCAGAGAACUGCUCACCAUAUGGCAGCUGUUUUCCUUUUGGAUUGAAGUACAUAUAGAAGUAUUUGCAUAUAUCUGAACUCCAUACCUGCUAAAUAUUCAUAUACCUGUGGAAAACAAACCCAUCAAGAUAGAGAAGAUUAAGGUCUCUCCGGAAAGUUCUCCUGGAUCCCUUAGUAAAAUCUCAUCUCACCCCACCCCACUCCUCCAGUGGCAGAAAGUUUUCUGAUAUUUUCCAUUAGUUUUGACUGUUUUAGAACUUCAGGUGAAUGUAAUAAUAAAGUCUAUAAUUUUGUAUGUGA